CGCACGGGUGAGUAACACGUAUCCAACCUGCCGUCUACUCUUGGACAGCCUUCUGAAAGGAAGAUUAAUACAAGAUGGCAUCAUGAGUCCGCAUGUUCACAUGAUUAAAGGUAUUCCGGUAGACGAUGGGGAUACGUUCCAUUAGAUAGUAGGCGGGGUAACGGCCCACCUAGUCUUCGAUGGAUAGGGGUUCUGAGAGGAAGGUCCCCCACAUUGGAACUGAGACACGGUCCAA
rnacentral:rRNA from 1 species